rnacentral:lncRNA from 1 species
CUCCGUUUCCCAUCUCCCUCUCCCGUCGCUGCCUUUCUCCUCCAUCUUCGGUUUCUGCUCGAAGACCCAGCAGAUCUGAGGACACCGGAGUAGCAAGCAGUCCAGUCGGACCGCCGUCGCGCACCGCUUGCACGUUGUCCUCGCCGUCGCUCGCUCGUGGAAGCCAACCGAGGCGAGCUGCUGCUGUCCUGCUCGCGCGCUAGUCUGCCUCUGUCCACUCGUCCAGGGUCGUCGUCUAGCCUCCUUAGGCCGUCGUGAAGCUCGCCGAAGGCCGUCUCGCCGCCGUACAGCAGCCGGAACCACCGCCUGGACCGCUGAAGCCCCGCUUUGCCCGUUUCCAGCAAGCCGAGUCGCUGGUUCUUCUCCUCUGUUCCAG